GAUGAACGCUGGCGGCGUGCCUAAUACAUGCAAGUCGAGCGAACAGGCGAGGAGCUUGCUCCUCUGACGUUAGCGGCGGACGGGUGAGUAACACGUGGAUAACCUACCUAUAAGACUGGGAUAACUUCGGGAAACCGGAGCUAAUACCGGAUAAUAUAUUGAACCGCAUGGUUCAAUAGUGAAAGACGGUUUUGCUGUCACUUAUAGAUGGAUCCGCGCCGCAUUAGCUAGUUGGUAAGGUAACGGCUUACCAAGGCAACGAUGCGUAGCCGACCUGAGAGGAUGAUCGGCCACACUGGAACUGAGACACGGUCCAGACUCCUACGGGAGGCAGCAGUAGGGAAUCUUCCGCAAUGGGCGAAAGCCUGACGGAGCAACGCCGCGUGAGUGAUGAAGGUCUUCGGAUCGUAAAACUCUGUUAUUAGGGAAGAACAGAUGUGUAAGUAACUAUGCACGUCUUGACGGUACCUAAUCAGAAAGCCACGGCUAACUACGUG
rnacentral:rRNA from 1 species